AAGCGUAACAAGGUUUCCGUAGGUGAACCUGCGGAAGGAUCAUUACCUAGAGUUUGCAGACUUCGGUCUGCUACCUCUUACCCAUGUCUUUUGAGUACCUUCGUUUCCUCGGCGGGUCCGCCCGCCGGUUGGACAACAUUCAAACCCUUUGCAGUUGCAAUCAGCGUCUGAAAAAACAUAAUAGUUACAACUUUCAACAACGGAUCUCUUGGUUCUGGCAUCGAUGAAGAACGCAGCGAAAUGCGAUAAGUAGUGUGAAUUGCAGAAUUCAGUGAAUCAUCGAAUCUUUGAACGCACAUUGCGCCCCUUGGUAUUCCAUGGGGCAUGCCUGUUCGAGCGUCAUUUGUACCUUCAAGCUCUGCUUGGUGUUGGGUGUUUUGUCUCGCCUCUGCGUGUAGACUCGCCUUAAAACAAUUGGCAGCCGGCGUAUUGAUUUCGGAGCGCAGUACAUCUCGCGCUUUGCACUCAUAACGACGACGUCCAAAAGUACAUUUUUACACUCUGACCUCGGAUCAGUAGCUCCAAUA
rnacentral:rRNA from 1 species